rnacentral:rRNA from 1 species
GAUGAACGCUGGCGGCGUGCCUAAUACAUGCAAGUCGAGCGAAUGGAUUGAGAGCUUGCUCUUAUGAAGUUAGCGGCGGACGGGUGAGUAACACGUGGGUAACCUGCCCAUAAGACUGGGAUAACUCCGGGAAACCGGGGCUAAUACCGGAUAACAUUUUGAACCGCAUGGUUCGAAAUUGAAAGUCGGCUUCGUCUGUCACUUAUGGGUGGACCCGCGUCGCAUUAGCUAGUUGGUGAGGUAACGGCUCACCAAGGCAACGAUGCGUAGCCGACCUGAGAGGGUGAUCGGCCACACUGGGACUGAGACACGGCCCAGACUCCUACGGGAGGCAGCAGUAGGGAAUCUUCCGCAAUGGACGAAAGUCUGACGGAGCAACGCCGCGUGAGUGAUGAAGGCUUUCGGGUCGUAAAACUCUGUUGUUAGGGAAGAACAAGUGCUAGUUGAAUAAGCUGGCACCUUGACGGUACCUAACCAGAAAGCCACGGCUAACUACGUGCCAGCCGCCGCAGUAA